rnacentral:misc_RNA from 1 species
UCCCCGUUGCCGAGGCAGUCUUGUAAGAAAAAUACAACUUACAAUAAGGGUUGCGCUCGUUAAGGGACUUAACCCAACAUCUCACGACACGAGCUGACGACGACCAUGCAUCACCUGUCACUGCGUUCCUCUUGCGAGGCACAUCUACCUUUCGGUGGACUUCGCAGGAUGUCAAGUCUUGGUAAGGUUCUUCGCGUAGCGUCGAAUUAAACCACACGCUCCACCGCUUGUGCGGGUCCCCGUCAAUUCCUUUGAGUUUUAGCCUUGCGGCCGUACUCCCCAGGCGGGAUGCUUAACGCGUUAGCUUCGCUACUCAAGAGGGUCGAUACUCUCAAGCAGCUAGCAUCCAUCGUUUACGGCGUGGACUAC